rnacentral:rRNA from 1 species
ACGCUCGACACCUACGGGAGGCAGCAGUGGGGAAUACUGCACAAUGGGGGAAACCCUGAUGCAGCGACGCCGCGUGGAGGAAGAAGGUCUUCGGAUUGUAAACUCCUGUUGUUGGGGAAAAAGAGGAUGGUACCCAACAAGGAAGUGACGGCUAACUACGUGCCUGCAGCCGCGGUAAUCUGAGCGGGCUGGCAAGGC